rnacentral:rRNA from 1 species
GACGAACGCUGACGGCGUGCUUAACACAUGCAAGUCGUACGGUAAGGCCCUUUCGGGGGUACACGAGUGGCGAACGGGUGAGUAACACGUGAGUAACCUGCCCACAACUUUGGGAUAACGCUAGGAAACUGGUGCUAAUACUGGAUAUGUGCUCCUGCUGCAUGGUGGGGGUUGGAAAGCUCCGGCGGUUGUGGAUGGACUCGCGGCCUAUCAGCUUGUUGGUGGGGUAGUGGCCUACCAAGGCGGCGACGGGUAGCCGGCCUGAGAGGGUGACCGGCCACAUUGGGACUGAGAUACGGCCCAGACUCCUACGGGAGGCAGCAGUGGGGAAUAUUGCACAAUGGGCGCAAGCCUGAUGCAGCAACGCCGCGUGCGGGAUGACGGCCUUCGGGUUGUAAACCGCUUUCAGCAGGGACGAAGCUUUUUGUGACGGUACCUGCAGAAGAAGCACCGGCUAACUACGUG